CAGAAUGGAACUCUGCUGUUAUGCUGGUCUCCAGGAACUGACUUCUGAUGAUCAUGGCAGAGCCAGACAAAGUCUAAUGACAAUGCAGCAUUGGACACAUGAUGACUGCAUUGCCUGGCUUCUGAAGAAAAACAGGUACAGGAUCAACCAUAGCCAAUAUACUCAGUCUGAAGACUGAACACUAAAGAGACUAGUUAGAGAGGCCAAGGCCAAGCAUGGGCCCUGAAGAAGCCUGAGCUAAAAGUUUAGCUGAAAGUAUCUGAGCUUUAAGCACAAAGGUAAAGAUGCAUAAACCUAAAAAACUAAGUGAACCAUGGCAGACAACUGACCAUUGUACUGCCAAACCUCAACGGACACGGGAAGUGUGCCAGGAACAAAUCUGAAGUGAAAGAGCCCUGCACCAAAAAAAAAAAAAAAAAAAAAAAAAAAAAAAAAAAAAAAAAAAAAAAAAAAAAUUGGGCAUGGCAAUAGUUAACCCUAAGAAGCCCAGGACCAAAUGAAGAUUAGAUGGGGUCUGGGCAAAUCCAUGACCCUGAAUAACAUCAGGCCUAAAGAGACGUUACGUUUUGACAUGGACAAAUGUCUCAAAGGCCGAGGACAAUGCAAAAAGAGUCUUGUACAUGGAUCAAACCAUGACCAUUAAGUAGCCUGGGCCCUAACACUGGAGUUGUUUGGGUUUGGGAAAAUUCCUGAUAUGAAAGAGGUCCAGAUCAACAUAAGAAGUGUUGUGUACCUGGACAAAAUCCAGACCAUGAAGAAGCCCAGGGCUGAAUCAAGAUGAAAUUUGGACCUGGGCCAAUCUCAGAGCAUUACAAUGCCUGGGCACAAAAAGAUGGUAUAUGUCCCCAGGAAUAUGCUACAAAUGAAAGAGGCCCAGGUCCAAAUACUACAAGAGUAUUAUGAUUGGGCCAUUCCCUAACUCUGAGGGAGCCUAGGCCAAAAUGAAUAAUAGUAAAGGCCUGGCCUGACAUAUAUCCCAGAAGAAGCCCAGGCCCAAAGCAAGAAAAAAGGUGGGCCUGGGUCAAUCCCUGAACUUGAAAAUGCUUUGGGUCUGGGACAAUUUCACAAAUGAAGAGGCCAUGUAAAACCACAAAAAAUAUGCCUGGAACAAACACUCUCCCUUGAGAUACCCGGGCCCAAAGCAAGAAGACAUGUGGGCCUGGGCUCACACCUUAACCAGAAGAAUCCCAGGCCCAAAGUAAUAGGCAAUGAGGGCCUGGGCCAGUCCCUGAAACUAAAUAAGCCUGGGCCCCAAAGGAGGUGAUAUAUGGGCCUGGGCCAAUUUCACAAAUGAAGAAACCCAUGUAAAACCACAAAAGAAUAUGCCUAGAACAAACCCUCUCCCAUGAGAUGCCCCAGCCCAAAGCCAGAAGAUAUUUGGGCCUGGGUUGAACCCUUAAUCUAAGAAGCCCAGGCCCAAAGAAAUAGGAGAUGUGGGCCUGGGCAGUUUCUGAACUUAAACAUGCCUGGGCCCAAAAGAAGUGAUAGAUGGGCCUGGGACAACCCCACAAAAGAAAUGGUCCAGGUAAAACCACAAAAGGAAUAUACCUGGACCAAACGCUCUUCCUUGAGAUUCCCAGGCCCAAACCAAGAAGACAUGUGGGCCUGGGCUAAUCCCUUACCCUGAAUAAGCCCAGGCUCAAAGUAAUGAGAGAUGGGGGCCUGGGCCAGUCCCUGAAACUAAAGAUGCCUGGGUCCCAAAAGAGGUGAUAGAUAUGCCUGGGACAACCCUACAAAAGAAAUUGCCCAGGUAAAAGCACAAAAGGAAUAUACCUGCACCAAACCCUCUUCCUUGAGAUACCCAGGCCCAAACCAAGAAGACAUGUGGGCCUGGGCUAAUCCCUUACCAUGAAUAAGCCCAGGCCCAAAGUAAUAAGAGAUGGGGGCCUGGGCAAGACCCUGACUAAAGAUGCCUGGGCCCCAAAAGAGGUGACAGAUGGGCCUGGGACAACCCCCAAAAAUAAAUGGUCCAGGUAAAACCA
rnacentral:lncRNA from 1 species